rnacentral:lncRNA from 1 species
AUUUACCACCCUGCAUUACAUUUGUCAACUCUACGUUUGUCUUUCUCCUUUCUUAAAAUUAUUGCACCUUGAAAACAGAAAUGGUGUCUGUUUUUUCUGACUUGAUAGGGCCCAGCAGAAUCUGUGGAAUACUGUAAAUGAAAAUAAAUAUGCAAUGAAUGAAUGAAUGCCAGAAGGGAAACUCUCAAAGGUCCAGGACACGAAAAAAUACAUUUGCAAAGCCCUAGUGUACUAACAAAGGCCAAGAAUGUGAGCAUGGAAUAGAAAUGACACAGAUUGGAAGAAUGCAAGCAGAAGGUGGACAUUUUUCUGAAGGGGCCCAA